UACGUAGGGGGCAAGCGUUGUCCGGAUUUACUGGGCGUAAAGCGCACGUAGGCGGACUGUUAAGUCGGGGGUGAAAUCCUGGGGCUCAACCUCAGAAUUGCCUCCGAUACUGGCAGUCUCGAGUGCGGGAGAGGUGAGUGGAAUUCCCAGUGUAGAGGUGAAAUUCGUAGAUAUUGGGAAGAACACCAGUGGCGAAAGGCGGCUCACUG
rnacentral:rRNA from 1 species